rnacentral:lncRNA from 1 species
GCUUGCGUGCUUGAGCGGUUGCUGCUGUGAACCUGAGUGCUUUCGCGAGCCCCGUGGGUGCCGUCAGUCGGAUUCCCGGUGAGACUUAUUUGUAGUUGAUAAAUAGCCACCAUGGAGGCCACGGAUCACAAGAAACACAGGAAGAAGCACAGUGGGCCUAAAGCUGAGAAGAAAAAGAAAAGGCACCUGCAGGAUCUACAGCUUGGAGAUGAGGAGGAUGCCCGGAAGAGAAACCCCAAAGCUUUUGCCGUGCAGUCUGCUGUGCGCAUGGCGCGGUCCUUUCACAGGACUCAGGACCUAAAGACGAAAAGGCAUCAUAUUCCAGUGGUUGACCGAACUCCACUGGAGCCCCCACCAAUAGUGGUAGUGGUGAUGGG